UAACUGAAGAGUUUGAUCAUGGCUCAGAUUGAACGCUGGCGGCAGGCUUAACACAUGCAAGUCGAGCGGGGGAAGGUAGCUUGCUACCGGACCUAGCGGCGGACGGGUGAGUAAUGCUUAGGAAUCUGCCUAUUAGUGGGGGACAACAUCUCGAAAGGGAUGCUAAUACCGCAUACGUCCUACGGGAGAAAGCAGGGGAUCUUCGGACCUUGCGCUAAUAGAUGAGCCUAAGUCGGAUUAGCUAGUUGGUGGGGUAAAGGCCUACCAAGGCGACGAUCUGUAGCGGGUCUGAGAGGAUGAUCCGCCACACUGGGACUGAGACACGGCCCAGACUCCUACGGGAGGCAGCAGUGGGGAAUAUUGGACAAUGGGGGGAACCCUGAUCCAGCCAUGCCGCGUGUGUGAAGAAGGCCUUAUGGUUGUAAAGCACUUUAAGCGAGGAGGAGGCUACUUUAGUUAAUACCUAGAGAUAGUGGACGUUACUCGCAGAAUAAGCACCGGCUAACUCUGUGCCAGCAGCCGCGGUAAUACAGAGGGUGCGAGCGUUAAUCGGAUUUACUGGGCGUAAAGCGUGCGUAGGCGGCUUAUUAAGUCGGAUGUGAAAUCCCCGAGCUUAACUUGGGAAUUGCAUUCGAUACUGGUGAGCUAGAGUAUGGGAGAGGAUGGUAGAAUUCCAGGUGUAGCGGUGAAAUGCGUAGAGAUCUGGAGGAAUACCGAUGGCGAAGGCAGCCAUCUGGCCUAAUACUGACGCUGAGGUACGAAAGCAUGGGGAGCAAACAGGAUUAGAUACCCUGGUAGUCCAUGCCGUAAACG
rnacentral:rRNA from 1 species